CAAUAGCGUAUAUUAAAGUUGUUGCGGUUAAAAAGCUCGUAGUUGGAUUUGUGGCGUACGACGGGCUCCGGGCACUUGUUGUCUGAGUAGCUUGUCGUUGCCAUCCUUGGGUGGAACCUGUGUGGCAUUAGGUUGUCGUGCAGGGGAUGCCCAUCUUUUACUGUGAAAAAAUUAGAGUGUUCAAAGCAGGCUUAUGCCGUUGAAUAUAUUAGCAUGGAAUAAUAAGAUAGGACUUUGUCGCUAUUUUGUUGGUUUGCGCACCGAGGUAAUGAUUAACAGGGACAGUUGGGGGUAUUCGUAUUCCAUUGUCAGAGGUGAAAUUCUUGGAUUUCUGGAAGACGAACUACUGCGAAAGCAUUUACCAAGGAUGUUUUCAUUAA
rnacentral:rRNA from 1 species